rnacentral:rRNA from 1 species
AUUGAACGCUGGCGGCAGGCCGAACACAUGCAAGUCGAACGAGUGGCGGACGGGUGAGUAACGUCUGGGAAAAUGCCCGAUGGAGGGGGAUAACUACUGGAAACGGUAGCUAAUACCGCAUACCAUCGGAUGUGCCAAGAUGGAAUUAGCCAGGAGGGGGGGUACCGGCUAACCUAGGCGACGAUCCCUAGCUGGUGUGAGAGGAUGACGUGCCACACUGGAACUGAAACACGGCCCAGACUCCGAGGGGAGGGAGUAGUGGGGAAUAUUGCACAAUGGGGGGAAGCCUGAUGCAGCCAUGCCGCGUGUAUGAAGAAGGCCUUCGGGUUGUAAAGUACUUUCAGCGGGGAGGCGUUGCCCGCAGAAAAAGCACCGGCUAACGCCGUGCCAGCAGCCGCGGUAAUUC